rnacentral:misc_RNA from 1 species
GUUUGGGAGAAUGCUUUUGAAGGAUUAUAGGUAAGGAUGUAAGCGUACAUAUUUGAAGAACUUGAAUAUUCUGGAUGAAUUUCUGAGCAAAGCUUUUUGAUAUAGGAUUUUCUUGUGAUUUGAGUUGUAAUUUUUUCUGAACAUGAUAACCACUGCUACACAUUUGUUAUCAUUAAACAAUCAAAUACAUCAUUGUUUAUCUUAUAUUUUUCAAUGUUAAAAGAGAACCAUUCCCCUGGCGCAU